CCCUUAGAUGUUCUGGGCCGCACGCGCGCUACACUGACGAAGUCAGCGAGCAUGUCCUACGCCGACAGGUGCGGGGAAUCUUGUCAAACUUCGUCGUGAUGGGGAUUGAUUAUUGAAAUUCUUGAUCAUCAACGAGGAAUUCCUAGUAAGCGCAAGUCAGCAGCUUGCGUUGAUUACGUCCCUGCCCUUUGUACACACCGCCCGUCGCUACUACCGAUUGAAUGGUUUAGUGAGCUCUUCGGAUUGGCGCCACUGCGGCUCAGCAAUGGGCUCGGUGGAUGCCGAAAAGUUGAUCAAACUUGAUCAUUUAGAGGAAGUAAAAGUCGUAACA
rnacentral:rRNA from 1 species